CAGCACAGAUGCACCCACCACCCAAUUUGCUACCAAUACCCCCCAUUCAUGCUCAGCAAGGUCAUCCAAAUAUGCCGCCUGCACAGCAGAUAGGCUCCCAGUCU
rnacentral:ribozyme from 1 species